rnacentral:rRNA from 1 species
CCAAGGAAGGCAGCAGGCGCGCAAAUUACCCACUCCCGGCACGGGGAGGUAGUGACGAAAAAUAACAAUACGGGACUCUUUUGAGACCCCGUAAUUGGAAUGAGCACACUCUAAAGCCUUUAGCGACGAACUAUUGGAGGUAAAGUCUGGUGCCAGCAUCCGCGGUAACUCCAGCUCCAAUAGCGUAUAUUAAAGUUGUUGCGGUUAAAAAGCUCGUAGUUGGAUCUCAGUUUGCUCGGGCGCGGUCCGGCGCGAGCCGGCCACUGCGCUCGGGCGACCGACCGCCGGUUUCCGGGGAUGAUCUUCACCGGUUGUCCUCGGUGACCGGCAAGUUUACUUUGAAAAAAUUAGAGUGCUCAAAGCAGGCCUUAAUUAGCCUGAAUAAUGGUGCAUGGAAUAAUGGAAUAGGACCUCGGUUCUAUUUUGUUGGUUUUUAGGAACGCGAGGUAAUGAUUAAGAGGGACAGACGGGGGCAUUCGUAUUGCGACGCUAGAGGUGAAAUUCUUGGACCGCCGCACGACGAACUACUGCGAAAGCAUUUGCCAAGAAUGUUUCCAUUAAUCAAGAACGAAAGUCAGAGGUUCGAAGGCGAUCAGAUACCGCCCUAGUUCUGACCAUAAACGAUGCCAGCCAGCGAUCCGGCUGCGUUCCUCAAAUGACGCGCCGGGCAGCUUCCGGGAAACCAAAGCUUUUGGGUUCCGGGGGGAGUAUGGUUGCAAAACUCAAACUUAAAGGAAUUGACGGAAGCGCACACAAGAAAUGGGGCCUGCGGCUUAAUUUGACUCAACACGGUGCAACUCACCCGACCCGGACACAGGAAGGAUUGACAGAU